UGGGGAAUAUUGCACAAUGGGCGCAAGCCUGAUGCAGCCAUGCCGCGUGUAUGAAGAAGGCCUUCGGGUUGUAAAGUACUUUCAGUCGGGAGGAAGGUGUCAAGGUUAAUAACCUUGGCAAUUGACGUUACCGACAGAAGAAGCACCGGCUAACUCCGUGCCAGCAGCCGCGGUAAUACGGAGGGUGCAAGCGUUAAUCGGAAUUACUGGGCGUAAAGCGCACGCAGGCGGUUGAGUGAGUCAGAUGUGAAAUCCCCGGGCUUAACCCGGGAAUUGCAUCUGAUACUGGUCAGCUAGAGUCUUGUAGAGGGGGGUAGAAUUCCAUGUGUAGCGGUGAAAUGCGUAGAGAUGUGGAGGAAUACCGGUGGCGAAGGCGGCCCCCUGGACAAAGACUGACGCUCAGGUGCGAAAGCGUGGGGAGCAAACAGG
rnacentral:rRNA from 1 species